UUAUGGUAAAAUACCAUACAGCUGAACUCGGUAGCUACGAAGAACAGUGAUAUUUUGCCUAUUGGAAAGACUUCGUCAGAGCCUGCAGAGGAAGAUGAAGAUGAAGAGGAUGAAGAAGAGCAUGAAGAUGAUGAUAGUGAAAGUCGUGAAGCAGAGGACAGUGACAUAGACUCCUUUACUGCCAAUGGGUCAAACUUUAAUCGUGACCUGGGUGAAGGUCCACCUAGGCUUGCCAACCCUACUAUGGAUCUAAGUGAAUAAAAAGUCAAG